GAUUUGGAUGAGUGUGUUAACCUGGUGGACACCUUUCAGGUCCUUGCAAAAAAAAUUGGGGGUACCCCUAGCGGAGGAAAAACCACUACACUGACCUACCAAGGGACUGAGCGGGACAUCCUGGAGGGUAUAUCGCAACUCCCUUUGACAUGUGCCUGGGGUUGAUAAUGGCAAAGCUGAUACAUUUUCUCAUUCUCAGAUGAAGCCAGUGAGGAACCUGGACGGAUACUGCUGGCACUAUGGAACCUUGGUAUAUGAUGGCUAUCAGGUGGCUCUGCAAACAUUGCAGAGCUAUGAGAGAAGUUUUAAUGCAGUUUAAUGACUUUGUGCAGUUUCAGGAUGUGGAAGGCCUGUCAUCGAUAUGGCUCAUUGCAGAGGAACAUGGGCUGCAGUACAUGGUGUCAUUAGCACACCAAUGACUGGCGUCUUCAACCAUCUCCUCUCACCUAUCAGCCCUUACAUUUGGCAGAAGUCUGAAUGGUUGCCCAGAUUCAUAGAUACUAAGGUCAGAAGGGACCAUUAUGAUCAUCUAGUCCGACCUCCUGCACAACGGCAGGGCACAGACUCUCACCCACCCACUCCUGUUACAAACCCCUAAUCUAUGUCUGAGCUAUUGAAGUCCUCAAAUCGUGGUUUAAAGACUUCAAGGAGCAGAGAAUCCUCCAGCAAGUGACCCGUGCUCUUGUUUUCGUUCGAAGGUUUCUAGUGGGGUGGUCUUGAAGCCCCAGCAAUAGGGAGGCUACACAUCAUCCCAUCACUGUUAAUAUGUCAAGCACCUGAUGCAGAUCCUGGAAUCCAUUUGUCAUUGUGGACAGGAGGUGGCCUUGUUCAGGGCAGCAUUUCUGGUAGCAUCUUGUGGAACUUUUAGGAUCAGUGAGCUAGUACAUGGGUCCUGUAGGGAUUCUCCUGGAAGGGCCUAGGAACUGAGGGAUAAACACUGGGAGGGGCAAUUGGUUAUAUUAACAUUGAGGAAGUCAAAGACAGAUUAAGGAGGCUGGGGUUGAAUCCAUCAUUUUACAGGAGGGUGGUGAGCCCGGGAUCUGCUCUGUGGAGGCUGUGAGGGCAUACGUGGCAAUAAGCCCAGGAAGAGAUGGGUCCCUUUAUUCACUGUGAAGCAUACAGAAUGAAUGUGAGACCCUACGUGGGGAAUCUAUGUUAAUUUUCUGUUGUGUUUUCAUUCCAGAUGCUGGCAGAUGGUGGAUCUGCACAGUGGUGUUUACUGGACACAUAGCCAGGCAUUCCAGUUGUCUGGAGGUUCGCAGCUGAGCCUCAGUGGUGAAGCAGUCCUGAGCUGGCACAGGAGGAGGGCAUUAUUAUGGGACCAGCUGAGCCCCUUCUGUACAUUGUGGGGGCCUGUGAGCGGGCCCCAGAGAUAACUGUGGUUCACCUUGGGGAAAAUUAUUAGGGAAUGUGUAAAGGGGUAGAGUUAAUGCUCAGAUAUGAGGACUUGGGCAGAUCCUGGAACUUUUCCCAGGAGUAAAAAUUGAUGAGACAUACUGUAAUGCAGGGUGUGGCGGGGAGCUGUGAAGUCUCUGUGGCUCUACAAGACAAAGAGUCAUUUCAUCGGCACGAUAUGUACACAGCGUGUUCAAGGGUUAAACAGCCCUCAACAGCCUGAAACUGACACAACACUACCCACGAUGCGGUCGUCAAUGAGCGAUUCACACCGUUCUCCAAAUCUGCAAGAUUGUGCUGCCAGUUUUAAAUCAGUCCUAUAUUGGUCCAUACUUUCCCCAUCUGCCUGACUUCCGGUGAAAAAUGUACACCUCUCAUACGUGACAUCUCAUGGUGCACGGUAUGCUUCCAAUGUAUUCUUUAAGAUCUGUAUUUUUUCUUUGUCUGAUGCAAAGUAUUAACAACCUCUCUUGCUUCUUCACCUGCCCUAUGAAGAAAUAAUGCUGUUUGCAGCCAUUCAUCAUUUUUGUCUGCGCCACUCUCAAUGCUACACAGCUCAUGUACUUGCUUCCACUUUCUGCAGUUUUCUGCUGCAUUUCCUUCAAACACUGACUUUGCAGGAGACUUUAAUUGGUCCAUUUUCAGUUACUUUUCAGGUUCUAUUCUCUUUCUUUCAGUUGUGUUCUGAUGCCAACUUGCUCUCAUAACCUAAGAAACACUACUGGAGGCUUUUUAAGUAACAGUGAAUGCUUUACUGAAGUUAUUGCUGAGAACUGUACACAUAGUGUUGCUGGCUCCAAGAAGUGCCUUAGCACUGAACUUCUUUUGCUAAGGCUUGCUAUGUAGUGAUUGCCGCCAUACACCCUAUGGGUAACUUUGUUCCUCUGCCAAAGUGCAUCCCAUCCUUAUACUUUCAUUUGUGAAAAUAAUCACAAAUCAGGGUUUGAAGCUCGUUAACCAGCACCAGUUUGAACAGUUCAGGGAAGAACUGGCAAUCAGGAAAUGUACAAAAUAGACUUAGACCUGGACCUUCCCUGUGUACUUGCGCUGCUGACCACUUUUGAGGCUUGAAAAGGGUAUGUGCUUUGGAGGGAAGGGGGCAGAGUUGCUAUGUCACCAUGUGCAACUUGAUCUUUUCGCUGUGCUAUCGGGAAAGGGACCUGGCAGACAACCCGCCCACAAUGUAAGUCAGCAUGCUCACUGAAAGGAGACCGUUCUAGCUGGGCAGGCAGAGGCAGAUUGAGAACAGGGUGUUGGCUGGUGGAUUUGGCUGUCAAGUGCAGGCUUCUCUUACCCUGACCUUGAGGAAAGGAGGCUUUUAGCAUCUCUAGUUGCGGGACCAUAAUUGUUUGAGGUAACUCCAGAUUGCCCGGCUGCUGGGGGUAAUGUGGAACGUUUGGGAGCUUCCCUUCCUUUGUACCAGUCUCAAAGACAGGACCAUGGGGAUGGUGGGGACAGUAGAGUUCUGCUUUGUUUUCUGUUUCUAUCAUUUCCACAAAGUAAUGUGGGAGAAGCUGGGUUUCCUUUCAUAGUACAUUAUAUAAUGCUAUUAAUAAAGACAUGAUCCAUCAUUUCCCAUUCUAAUAAAUCAUCAAGGAUUAAAUCAAGGUGGAAUAGAGUUAGUCCAGUUAUCAGCUGAUCACAAUGGGGUUACGUAUAGCAACCUACUCCCCACUCUGCAGUUCCUGGUAACAGCUAGAAAGUGGAAAUGUCAAACUAUGGUGAAAGAGACAGCUCCUCUGGUCUCCCCAGCAAAAAGUACUAGAAACAUCACAACUGAGCCACUCCUCAUAAAAUUUUCAGCCAAGCUGUGCAGAGCGAAGGGAGUCUAAAAGUUCAGCCACUGAAGACGAAGGGAAUUUUCCCAUUGACUUCAGUGGGGCUCAAGAUGUCACCCCCAAACUCUGGGUGCCUAGCUGAACUGACAUUUGUAGUCACUUUUUGAGGUUUCUUCAUUACUAGUCCUUGGAUCAGACUGUGGGAGAGGAAUGGGGCUUUAAAGCGAUCAACAAGAAUGAAAUAUUUAACAAAUCAUUCCCUGGUAUUGCUGGUCCUUCUCCACAUGGAAGAAAGAGAACAUUGCUCUGCAUGAGGAAACCUUUCCUUUGCUGUAACAAACUGUUCUGAACAACUGGCCAGUGGGGAUGGCAGCACAAAUAGUUCUGCUCAGCCUUUCUAAAGGUAACUUAAAUAUAGGAAGGUUUUGUUGCGUUAGAUAGCUUGACAUUUUCCUAAAGGGCUUAUCUCUAUUCAGAUUCUACAAAUAUCUGAUGUUCAUGUACACACCCAUGUACAUGUAUGGGCACACGCACGCACACACAGCGUUUGAAAUCGGUCGGCUGCAUGCACAGAUAUCUAAUGGCAUAAAAAUGCAGAAUGUAUUAAAAACAUGAAAACUGGGCUUCCUGACCAUUCGUUUAUCGAAUACAAAGUGUGCAUUCUGCUGUUUUAAAUUAGGACAGACUAUUCAGACUCAGUAAAUGGCAUGUGAAAUCUGGCAGUCUGAUUGGCUGAUGCAAUCAUGUAGCCCGAUAUUAUAUUAAGUCAAAGAAAUAGCUGAAUAUGAAGACAGGACAGGUUUUAAGAUCUUGUGCUAUUUUUUUAAUCACACCAGAUCUGUUAUCCUGAGCUGUGCUAGCUCCUUGUGCAGAUGACAUAGUGAAGUCAGUUGGACUAGGGCACAGGCUCCCAAACUCUGGGUCAUGAUCCCAAAUGGGGUUGCACCAUCAGCAGAUGGGGAAUGCAGGUCCAAUGGGCCAGACUGAGCCCAUGAGAUGAUGCCGUUUGCCCCCAAACGUGUUCAGAUCUGCUCCACAAAUGCCGUCCCAGGAGGCCACCAUUUUGAUCUACAAUUAUAUGACCUACACCAAGACUCAGCCUCUUGGUGUGUGUCUGCAAAACUGCAUGAAGAAAUGAGGUCCGAUCAUGUGGCCGUGUUCCACACUGAAGCUCAUUGGCUCUCAAGGGGAAAAGUACUGGGACAAUUUUUUGAACUGAGUGACAAAAUGUGUACCUUUGCAAUGGACUACAAAAAGAGUGAAUUCAUUGAUUUUCUACGUGGUCAAAGGAAGAUGUGCCUUCUUGCCUAUAUCACAGACAUAUCUGGGAGACUGAAUAAAUUGAAUGCAGGUUUGCAAGAAAAGAACACCCACGCCCUUCAGCUGAGUAAUCGAAGGAGUCAUGAAGAAAAUUGUUUUCUGGAAGAAUAAUCUGUUGCAGACAAACUAUGAAUCCUUCCCACAGCGUUGCAAGUUCCUGGCUGACAAUGAAAUUAUUCAGCCUCCCACACAGGUGAUGGCUGAGCAUCUCAGCCAGCUGGAGAAGUGGUUUGCAUCCUUUUUCCCCAAAUGUGGAUGUGACAAAGUAUGAUUGGGUGUGUAACCCCUUUCAGUGCAAGGCUGAUGCUCUGGAUUUGCCAGCUGGUGAAAUCAAACAGCUCAUCAAAAUUUCUUGUAAUCAGUUCUUGUGGGGAACAUAUGCCCAACUUUCUCCCCCAGAGAUCUGGUUCACUGUGAAGGAUGAAUAUCCUACACUCUCAACACAUGCCUUGAAACUGAUGGUGCCUUUCAUGAGCAUGUAUUUGUGUGAAGCUGGAUUCAGCACACUUGUGUCCAUCAAGUCUCAGUAUUGAUCUACUGUUGAUGUCAGACUGGAGAUUGGAUAUGUGAUUUGUACCACACCGCCGGACUUCAAGAAACUGUCGCAACACACAAGCCCAUGUGUCACAUUAGAGAGCAUUAAGUGAUGUACGUCAUGUGUAAAUUCCUUGGAUGCCUUGGUUGCUAUGUUGCAUUGGUGCUGUCUGGGGUCCAGGGAUUUCCCUUCACCCCCCGCCCCCAUAGCAGUGUUUACCUCCCCCGAAUUUGCCCACCCCCCGCUUCCCAGUUUUGUGAACUAGUUACAUGCAGUGUUUGUUUGGAAAUGUGAAUUGAAAUUGAAACAUUAAUACACACUUUAAAAGCACAUACAGUGUAUGAUAAAAUACGUGUAUCUGAAAAAGUAUAAUAGAUUUGAAAAGUAUGAACAUAGACUAGCUUCCUUGUACAGCUGUUUAUGACAAUGUCAGUGCAUUCAUUUUGGUGACAUUGGCCAACCUAAUAAUUUCAAAUUAUGAUUUGUAAGCAAAGUCUAAAUGAGCUCUCCCUGACAGCUAGUGAUGAGCUGGGCGGAAAGGCUUCAGGACCAGAUUGUAUUUACAUUCACACCUAGUCUACCUAGGUAUCCAGCAAACAGAGCUGUGUUGCCCAAGUGAUAGAUAUUGGCUGGGGUUGGGUUACAAAUCACUUGAAUGCGGGGGGUAAAGAAAUGUUGUUCUUAUUCUAUGAGUAAAGGGCAGUAGAACUGUACUUAGCCUGUAUGAGUAAAGGGCUUCUAGAGAGAAAGGGUGGCAACAGGUGUUUUGCUUGACGGUCUGCUUGAGUCACAAGUACUAUUAGACCUGCCUCUCUCCACCAUUUAAAGACAGAGCUGAUUAGGCUCCACAGAUAGUCUUUGUUUUGUUAAGUGACCACUACAGCUGAAAUCACUGAUAAUCCGGUCUAAGUGCUUAGACCUGCUGUGGGACAAUGUUUCUGUGGAAGAGAUGGCCCAGUCUGCACUAGCAGUGAGGUUCCCCCACUGAGAGCUCAGCUAAAAUCACUGAGAACUGGGUGGAACCUCAAGAGACCAACUCGCAGAGGUCACAGUGGCAGGUGGCAGCAGAAGGUGAUGGUGCAGGGCCAUUGGCAACAGAGCGAUGGAGUGAACGGUGGCACAACGAACAACAGUGGCCAGAACAAACAGUGAGCAGCUGGAGGAACGAGCAAGGUAAGGUGCCUUCUUGCCCCCCACCUGGGAGGUAAACUCAUGUGAAAGCAUCUCUGAGUCUCCGCUGACCAAGGACAACACCAGCGAGUGUUAAUGAGGCUGUUACACAACACAGUUCAUGCGAACAAACAUGGCUGUGGCAUCAUACUUUCUAUUUAAGCAAGAGAUACCACACACUACAAACUGGAGGCCAAUGUUAAGUGCACUGUCACUUGUUCAUCCUGAAGUUGAACACUGGUUCAGAACAAGACCAGCAAAUGCUCCCACUAUCUUUCUGCUAGAAACUCAACUGACUGGCUAGAUGCAUGUGGUGCAACAGUGAAAGACUCAACAGUUGAAAAAGUGAAGAACCCUCUCACCACAUUCAAAAAAUUUACAUACAUGGCUGAUGAAUGCACCAACGCAAAUAGUCAUCAAGUAUUAAGUCAUUGUGUAUGUUAUCUUGAUGUCGGUGGUAGGCCAGUAGAUGCAUUUCUAGAUGUUCAAGUUAUAGAAGACACAUUGGCUGCACCUGUGACAACCCACAUCUUAGAAGAGUUAAAUGCUUGUCAAUGGGACCCCAAAAAGAUGGCUGCUUGUGCAUUUGAUGGAGCUGCAAACUUCUUUGGAAGACAUGGUGGAGUACAAGCUUCGCUCAGAGAAAAGUGUGACCCUAAUCUCUCCUAUACACACUGCAGAGGCCAUCUACUCCAACUAGUGCUAGUACGAGCUACAGACCAUUCAAAAGACAUUUAAAAAGCUAUAAAUUUAAUGUUUUCAUUAUAUUCCUUUUUCGGCAAGAGUCCAAAAAGACUACAUAUCUUGGAAAAUAUAGAAGAUACAUUGGGACUGAAGUUCAAAUUAGUCCAACCUGGGAAAACCCUCUGGCUUUCUCAUGAGCGAUCCUUGGCUGUUGUCUUAAAAUUACUCCAGCCAUUAUUACUGGCUUUGGAAAGUAUCUACCAAGAUGGGAUGGAUCUAAGUAGUGAGGCUGGUGGAUUACUUUUGCUUCUACGUUCAGAGAAGACUAUUGCCAUUCUCUCUCUCUUGUAAGUCUGCUGUUGAAACCACUUGGGUCAUUAAACAAUGCUAUCCAGGUAUCUGCUACAACAGUAGUAGAUCUUUGUCCAGAAAUAGAAGCUAUAUUUGGAUCAAUCAGAGAGCUAGCCAUUGAAAAAGUACUGGAAGAAGCAAAGACUUCAGUCCAGAAGUUGACUAAUGAAGGCAUUUGUAUUGAAUCCUUAAGUAAAGAAGACAAGAAGUGUUUGUUAAGACAACUGAAAAAGUACACAGACUUGAUUCUUAAAAAUCUACAGCAGCGACUUCUAGAUUCUACUCAAUCUCUAUGUAGCUUUUACAGAUCCCUGUCUAAUAAAACACUGACAGUUGAGUGGAGUGAGGCACUACCAGCAAUGGGGCUGCAAUGUGCUCAAGACAGGACAGAGAAUUUGAACACAGAGUGGAAUAUCAUAUGACGAAUGAAAAUUUGACUUCAACUUCUUUUUUAUCAUCAUUAGUGGCUCGACCCAAUCUUUGUGCUAUGUUUCCUGGGCUGAAAGAAGUAGGAAUUCAUCUCUUGCUACUCUCAGUCACAACAGCUGCAGUUGAGCAUUCUUUUUCAUCAUUGAAUAGAAUUGUGUGUUUUGAAAGACAUCACCUUCUGCCUGAUCAUGUGAAUGAACUAAUGAGCAUAUCAGUUGAAGGAAUGGAAGUACUGGAAACACGAGAAGCCACCAAAGAUGAACGCAUUGCAUUCAAGAAGUUCAUUAACAGACUUGUGCAAAAUUAUAACAAGAAACCAAGAAGGAUGUAGAUGUAAUGCUUCUUAGAGGGCUUGAGUAGCCAACUUAAAUUUGUGCAAUGAUUUUAAAAUCUAAUAAAAUGGUCAUGAAACAUUUUUUAGUUUUUGCUAUGGUGCCAUACAGCCCACCUUCACCCUUACAGUCUCACCCCUCAUCGGCCCUGACACUCCCCCACCCCGUAAAUUUGAACACCCCCUGUAAUUUCAAUUCCUGGGGAAAACACUGCUAAAACAAUAAGUCUCAAAAUUGGGUCUCACAGACAAAAAGUUUGGGAACAUCUGAGCUAGGAUCAAGUUGAGCCUUUUCAGAAAAUUCUGAUUUUUCAGGAAGCUUUUCCUGAUAGAUACCAACUUUUUUCCAAAUGUGUAUUUCCCAACAGCUAUUACAAGCUUUAGGAUCCUGUGGUGUCCUGAAACAUACAAGGCAUUGCUGUAUAUUUAGUUGAUAACAUUAAAACAAGAAAGCAAGAGAGAAAGGAGGGUAAUUGGAACAGUUUACUAAAAGUGAUGGCAGAUUCUCCUUGCUGCCAAUUUUAAAAUCAAGAUUGGAUCUUUGUCUAAAAGAUCUGCUAUAGGAACGUCUUCGGGGAAGUUCUGUGGCCUGUGUUAUACAGGAAGUCAGACUAGAUAAUCACAAUGAUCCUUUCUGGUUUUGAAAUCUGUGUAUCUAUUUAAAGGUUUAGGGAAAAUAUACUGAGCUUGACUUCAGGCUCACCUCAGACGAGUGACACUGAACAAUUUCACUCUUCAGUGCUCCAAAAAAGAUCUGACUGGACGUGGCCCCCUGGUGCCUAGUGCUGUAUACAAAAUACAUCACUCAAUAUAAAGUUACAAUGUUUCACUCAUUGCCCUAGACUGGGAAUGCAGACAGGAUGGGUCUGUUUAAGAUGCCUUGGGCCAUUAACAUACUUUCUA